rnacentral:rRNA from 2 species
GAUGAACGCUGGCGGCGUGCUUAACACAUGCAAGUCGAACGAAGCACCUUGAUUUGAUUCUUCGGAUGAAGAUCUUGGUGACUGAGUGGCGGACGGGUGAGUAACGCGUGGGUAACCUGCCUCAUACAGGGGGAUAACAGUUAGAAAUGACUGCUAAUACCGCAUAAGACCACAGCACCGCAUGGUGCAGGGGUAAAAACUCCGGUGGUAUGAGAUGGACCCGCGUCUGAUUAGGUAGUUGGUGGGGUAACGGCCUACCAAGCCGACGAUCAGUAGCCGACCUGAGAGGGUGACCGGCCACAUUGGGACUGAGACACGGCCCAAACUCCUACGGGAGGCAGCAGUGGGGAAUAUUGCACAAUGGGGGAAACCCUGAUGCAGCGACGCCGCGUGAGCGAUGAAGUAUUUCGGUAUGUAAAGCUCUAUCAGCAGGGAAGAAAAUGACGGUACCUGACUAAGAAGCACCGGCUAAAUACGUG